GUGGGGAAUAUUGGACAAUGGGCGCAAGCCUGAUCCAGCCAUGCCGCGUGAGUGAUGAAGGCCUUAGGGUUGUAAAGCUCUUUCAGUGGGGACGAUAAUGACGGUACCCACAGAAGAAGCCCCGGCUAACUUCGUGCCAGCGGCCGCGGUAAUACGAAGGGGGCUAGCGUUGUUCGGAUUUACUGGGCGUAAAGCGCACGUAGGCGGAUCGUUAAGUCGGGGGUGAAAUCCUGGAGCUCAACUCCAGAACUGCCUUCGAUACUGGCGAUCUUGAGUCCGGAAGAGGUGAGUGGAACUCCUAGUGUAGAGGUGGAAUUCGUAGAUAUUAGGAAGAACACCAGUGGCGAAGGCGGCUCACUGGUCCGGUACUGACGCUGAGGUGCGAAAGCGUGGGGAGCAAACAGGAUUAGAAACCCGGGUAGUCA
rnacentral:rRNA from 1 species